rnacentral:rRNA from 1 species
CUAAACGUCCGUAGCCGGUCUGAUACAUUCGUGGGUAAAUCAACCAGCUUAACUGGUUGAAUUCUGCGAGGACGGUCAGACUUGGGACCGGGAGAGGUGUGGGGUACGCUCAGGGUAGGGGUAAAAUCCUGUCAUCCUGAGCGGACCACCUGUUGCGAAGGCGCCACACUAGAACGGAUCCGACGGUCAGGGACGAAGCCUAGGGGCACGAACCGGAUUAGAUACCCGGGUAGUCCUAGGUGUAAACGCUGUGGACUUGAUGUUGGGGGUGCUCCGAGCGCUCUCAGUGUCGAAGCGAAGGUGAUAAGUCCACUGCCUGGGAAGUACGGUCGCAAGGCUGAAACUUAAAGGAAUUGGCGGGGGAG